rnacentral:lncRNA from 1 species
CAGUGUAAGUAGUCGCCAUGUUUCUGUCGCUAUCACUUUCUUGGGGGUGUCACUGAUCACUGGCUAUUGCGACUACCAGACGCUCUGGACACUUGGAACGCUCCUGAGUUUGCGGCUGGGUCCACUUCCUGAAUGAUACUAGGAUCCCCGCCUCUGGUUUCUUUUGGCUGCCCCCGAGCUACCUCAGUCUUUUUCAAUGUCAGGCGGUCCAAGUUCCCUGUGGUGAAAAUGGAGCCCAGUGAGUCGUGCCCAUGGCAGCGCACCUGGUUUUGCAGCCUGGGCAGGUCACAGGUGCAUCUUCCACGGGGAUUUGAGCCAGCGUGCACCCCCAUAGCGCGACUGAGAUUCCAAGUCACACCCAGGUUUUGGCCUCGCAAAUCCGCCUCUGCUCCCAGCUGGCACCUGAGUAUGCAGGUCGCAGCCCGCGAUUUAGAAACACCGGCACCCGGGUGAACGCCCACGGCUCCUCAGCUUUCGCUGCACCGACGUCUGCACCACGCCCGUCAAGCUCAGCUGCAUCCUGACUCUGGGUUGGAAACUUCGUGGUGGAUGAUGCCUGUAACUACCCAGAUGAAAUCAAGACGCAACAGCCCUCAUCGAGGGAUGCUCAGGAUCAAGGAAGAACUAGAACCACGGAAUAAAUUUAAAAGGAAAGAAGUGUAAAAAAGGACUGCAGAGUCAAGGAAACUUUUCUUUUGAGCUACUGACAGCUUAACUCCUGUGAACAAAAUUUGGAGCAUAUUUGUUUCUCUCUGCCUGAUUUCUCCAAAAUUUGGAAACUAUUUGUGAGUAUUCUUAACUUAUAGCAAUAUAGUUAUUUGCAUAAGUACAAUAAGGAUCUGUUUUCUUUUGCAAACUCACGGCUGGGCUCAGCUUUUAAAAAGUCUUAUCUGAGAUUCAUUUUAUGAAACACAGUUCCAUCAAAGUCAAUUUUAAAAGCCUCUGUGAAAAAUAAUUAUUAUUGCUGCACUUUAUACAAAUAAUUAGGCCAAGUAUAAUAAAGCAAAUUGGUUUUGCCAUGAUUUGUCUUUAGUAAAAAAUGGGAGACUGGAGAGAGAAAAAUUAUGUUUCAAGAACUAUGGUACACCUGUUAUUAGAUUCUAAUCUCAUCAGUUGUUUUUGAGGGUUUUCUUCUGCAAUUUAGACUGACUGCUUAUUCCUGUGAGCCAACCAGUGAUCUCUGGUUGCAGUUCAGAAUAAACAAGACAGAUACCACCUUUUGUCAGAACUCGGAGUUACAAGUGACCCUCACCAUAAUUAUGCUUUCUGAGCUCCUCUCUACCCUGAAUACAAGAGACCCUAACAGUUAGGCAGGAAAGCAUUGCCCCUAUUCAGCCUGAAGAAGUUACAGAAUAUGGAUCUUCAUCCUUCCACAACCCUUAGGAUUAAGAGUUGCCUUGUAAAAGGGAGGGGGGAAAUGUCAGAGACAUUUGAAUCAGAACAACUCCACCUUGAAUAGGGUCUGGGUAAAACAAGGCUGAGAACUGCUGGGUUGCAUUCCCAGAUGGUUAAGGCAUUCUAACUCACCGGAUGAGAUAGGAGGUCAGAACAAGAUACAGCUUAUAAAGACCUUGCCGAUAAAACAGGUUGUAGUAAGAAAAGCCGGCCAAAACCAAGAUAGCAACAAAAGUGACUUCUAAUUGUCCUCACUGCUCAUUAUAUGCUAAUUACAGUGCAUUAGCAUGCUAAAAGACACUCCUACCCACACCAAAACAGUUUACAAAUUCCAUAGCAACAUCAGAAAAUUACCCUAUAUAGUCUAAAAAGGGGAGGAACCCCCAGUUCUGGGAAUUGCCCACUCUUCCUGGAAAAUUCAUGAAUAAUCCACCCCUUGUGAUAUGAUUUGGCUGUGUGUAGCCUAGGGACUUGAUAUCCUGCAUCCCAGUUGCUCUAGCCAUGGAUAAAAGGGGCCAAGGUACAGCUGGGGCCAUGGCUUGAAAGGGUGCAAGCUCCAAGCCUAGGCAGCAUCCACAUGGUGUUGAGCCUGCGGGUGCACAGAGGUCAAGAAUUGAGGUUUGGGAACCUCCGCCUAGAUUUCAGAGGAUGUAGAGAAAUGCCUGGAUGUCCAGUCAGAAGUUUGCUUCAGGAACAGCGCCCUCAUGGAGAACCUUUGCUAGGGCAAUGAAGAAGGGAAAUGUGGGCUUGAAACCCCACACAGAGUCCCCACUGAGGCACCGCCUAGUGGGGCUGUGAGGAGAGGGCCAGCGUCCUCCAGACCCCAGAAUGGUAGAUCCACCAACAGCUUACACUGUGCACCUGGAAGAGCCAUAGACACUCAACACCAGGAGUGAAAGCAGCCACAAAGACACAGAGGCAGAGCUGCCCAAGACCAUGGGAACCCACCUCUUGCAGCAUAACUUGGAUGUGAGAAAUGGUGUCCAUGGAGAUAAUUUCAGAGCUUUAAGAUUUGGCUGCCCUGCUGGAUUUCUAACUUGCAUGGGGCCUGUAGCCCCUCCAUCUUGGCCAGUCUGUCACAUUUGGAAUGGGUGUAUUUACCCGAUACCUGUACCCCCAUUGUAUCUGGGAAGUAACUAAGUUGCUUUUGAUUUUACAGGCUCCUAGGUGGAAGGAACUCACCUUGUCUUAAAUGAGACUUUGGACUAUGGACUUUUAAGUUUAUGCUGAAAUGAGUUAAGAAUUUGGGGGACUGUGGGGAAGGUAUGAUUGGUUUUAAAAUGUGAGAACAUGAAAUUUGGGAGGGGUUGGGGGCAGAAUGAUAUGGUUUGGCUGUGUCCCUACCCAAAUCUCAUCUUGAAUUGUAGCUCCCAUAAUUCCCGCCUGUCAUGGGAGGGAUGCAGUGGGAGGUAAUUAAAUCAUGGGGACGGGUCUUUCCCAUGCUGUUCUCAUGGUAGUGAAUAAAUCUCAAGAGUUCU